UACAGAGGGUGCGAGCGUUUGUCCGGAAUCACUGGGCGUAAAGGGCGCGUAGGUGGCCCGACAAGUCAGUGGUGAAAGUUCGACGCUUAACGUCGAAUCGGCCACUGAUACUGUUGGGCUGGAGCACUGUAGAGGCUCAUGGAAUUCCGGGUGUAGCGGUGGAAUGCGUAGAGAUCCGGAAGAACACCGGUGGCGAAGGCGGGUUGCUGGGCCGACACUGACGCUGAUGCGCGAAAGCCAGGGGAGCGAACGGG
rnacentral:rRNA from 1 species